UGCCCUUAAGAAACAGCGAUACUUUACUUACUUUUUAGGGUUCGUCAAUUGUACGUGAUUACAAGACAGCUAGAAUCGUUUUCCUUCUGAAACCCUUGUUUUUCUUAUGUUCAAUUAAACAUUGAAAGUAAUAAUAUUGCCAUUGACUGCAAAUGCUAUAAAAACUGAAAAUCAUUCAGAAUGUAAAAGUGAAAGAAAUGUAAUAUCAUCUUCCACAAAAAGGUCUUUAAAGAUAAAGAUUAUUCAAAAUACAGCAGUGAAGAUGAUUCUUCUGGAUUAAAUGAUGAGGAAUGGGCAAGCUCUGAUGACAAUAAAGAUAAGCAGAAGAAAGGGGAUAUCCAAGACCACCCUACGAUUAAAGAUAAGAUCUAUGAUUGUGAAACAUUUGCAGGAUUUAGGAUAUCUGAGGCAUAUGAGGGAGAUAAAAUAAAAGAAGGACAAAGAGUUGUGCUAAAUCCAGAAGUCCUUACAAAAAACAGCGACACUCAAAGAAGAAAC